GUGGCAAGCGUUGUCCGGAUUUAUUGGGCGUAAAGCGAGCGCAGGCGGAAAGAUAAGUCUGAUGUGAAAGCCUUCGGCUUAACCGGAGUAGUGCAUUGGAAACUGUGUUUCUUGAGUGCAGAAGAGGAGAGUGGAACUCCAUGUGUAGCGGUGGAAUGCGUAGAUAUAUGGAAGAACACCAGUGGCGAAGGCGGCUCUCUGGUCUGUAACUGACGCUGAGGCUCGAAAGCAUGGGUAGCGAACA
rnacentral:rRNA from 1 species